rnacentral:rRNA from 1 species
CCUGGCGGCCGUAGCGCGGUGGUCCCACCUGACCCCAUGCCGAACUCAGAAGUGAAACGCCGUAGCGCCGAUGGUAGUGUGGGGUCUCCCCAUGUGAGAGUAGGGAACCGCCA